rnacentral:rRNA from 1 species
UACACUCCUACGGGAGGCAGCAGUGGGGAAUAUUGGACAAUGGGCGCAAGCCUGAUCCAGCCAUGCCGCGUGAGUGAUGAAGGCCCUAGGGUUGUAAAGCUCUUUCACCGGUGAAGAUAAUGACGGUAACCGGAGAAGAAGCCCCGGCUAACUUCGUGCCAGCAGCCGCGGUAAUACGAAGGGGGCUAGCGUUGUUCGGAUUUACUGGGCGUAAAGCGCACGUAGGCGGACUAUUAAGUCAGGGGUGAAAUCCCGGGGCUCAACCCCGGAACUGCCUUUGAUACGGGUAGUCUUGAGUUCGAGAGAGGUGAGUGGAAUUCCGAGUGUAGAGGUGAAAUUCGUAGAUAUUCGGAGGAACACCAGUGGCGAAGGCGGCUCACUGGCUCGAUACUGACGCUGAGGUGCGAAAGCGUGGGGAGCAAACAGGAUUAGAAACCCUUGUAGUCCCAU